rnacentral:rRNA from 1 species
CGGACGGGUGAGUAACACGUGGAUAACCUACCUAUAAGACUGGGAUAACUUCGGGAAACCGGAGCUAAUACCGGAUAAUAUAUUGAACCGCAUGGUUCAAUAGUGAAAGACGGCUUUGCUGUCACUUAUAGAUGGAUCCGCGCCGCAUUAGCUAGUUGGUAAGGUAACGGCUUACCAAGGCAACGAUGCGUAGCCGACCUGAGAGGGUGAUCGGCCACACUGGAACUGAGACACGGUCCAG